CGCACAUGCACCGGAGAAAAAAAAAAAAAAAAAAAAAAAAAAAAAAAAAAAAAAAAAAAAG
rnacentral:ribozyme from 13 species